UACGUAGGGUGCAAGCGUUGUCCGGAAUUAUUGGGCGUAAAGAGCUCGUAGGCGGUUUGUCGCGUCUGCUGUGAAAACCCGAGGCUCAACCUCGGGCCUGCAGUGGGUACGGGCAGACUAGAGUGCGGUAGGGGGAGAUUGGAAUUCCUGGUGUAGCGGUGGAAUGCGCAGAUAUCAGGAGGAACACCAAUGGCGAAGGCAGAUCUCUGGGCCGUAGCUGACGCUGAGGAGCGAAAGCAUGGGGAGCGAACAGG
rnacentral:rRNA from 1 species